rnacentral:rRNA from 1 species
CUACGGAGGAUGCGAGCGUUAUCCGGAUUUAUUGGGUUUAAAGGGAGCGUAGGUGGGAUAUUAAGUCAGCUGUGAAAGUUUGGGGCUCAACCUUAAAAUUGCAGUUGAUACUGGUUUCCUUGAGUACGGUACAGGUGGGCGGAAUUCGUGGUGUAGCGGUGAAAUGCUUAGAUAUCACGAAGAACUCCGAUCGCGAAGGCAGCUCACCGGGCCGGAACUGACACUGAUGCUCGAAAGUGCGGGUAUCAAACAGGAUUAGAUACCCUGGUAGUCCGCACAGUAAACGAUGAAUACUCGCUGUUUGCGAUACACGGUAAGCGGCCAAGCGAAAGCGUUAAGUAUUCCACCUGGGGAGUACGCCGGCAACGGUGAAACUCAAAGGAAUUGGCGGGG